rnacentral:tRNA from 2 species
GGGGUUAUGGCUCAGUGGUAGAGCACUCGCCUAGCAUGUGUGAGGCACUGGGUUCAAUUCUCAGAACCACA